rnacentral:lncRNA from 1 species
CCUGCACCUGAGAUUCCGGAAUACAUUGCUAAGUUACCACUUACGUAUCAAAACGAUGUGGUGGUAUGCCCUCAAUAUGGAUACUCUUUCAUCGCCUUCCUCUAUAUCACUGCGUCGAGUUUUCUGAACAUUCCUGAUACUAAUCCAGUUGAGCCGUUAAACUUCGACUGGCUUGGAUCUGGGAUACCCGUUGGGUUGGUGCCUCGAAGGUUGCAGAAGUAGGUCUCGACGAAGCAGAUCUGGUGUUAGGGUUAGAUAAGGUAAAUCUUUUUAGAUAAGUUAGGCUAGGAAAAAAAUCUCACCGAUGUUUUUAGCUAGGGUUUAUCAGAAUGAAAAACCCAUUACAAUAAAUCAUUCUCGAAAGGGGAAAACGCAGAUAAAGCCAACUGAUGUGUCUUCAACAGAACUUGUAACCCAUAACAAUAAAUCGAACACAAAAGAGGAAAACACGACCUAUUUGGUUAGAAUUUCAAAAACACGGACAAGAAGAAUAGAGAGCCAACCAGGCACCGAAACUAAACUGAACACCAGAACAUACCAGUCAUCGAGCAGCCACCGGAACUAAACUGAACACAAGAACACAGAACCGACUAGCUACUGAAACUAAACAGAACUGAACACUGAAAUCCCAGAAAACAAGUGAACCUACAUACACUAACUAGGAAGAAAGAGGAGUGUCAGUACGUUUGGUUUUAAGUAUGUUUUGUAAGGGAUUUUUGGUUGAAGUGGGUUUGUGAUACAAGAUCAAAUCCGGUAUCUAUAGGAGUCGAAGGAAUAGCUCCAUUCUAGGAUAGAUUGGACCUGGGAGAGGACUACCAGUCCCUGAUUCAAGGAUCGGGAAACCGACCAAAAAAAAGACGUAGCAGCGGUCUGAGACCUAAAUCCUCGCAAGCAGGUGAUCAGUAGAUCGGAUCGACGCUCCGGAUCUGCAGGAACCGAGAUACGUAGAUGGGAUAGGGAUGGACGUCCGGGUCGACGAUGAACGGAGAUGAUCUGGGCGACGACGAUGUAACGGUCAUGGAAUGCAGGGGGUGGAUUAAGUGGAA